rnacentral:rRNA from 1 species
GGCUCAGAACGAACGCUGGCGGCGUGGAUUAGGCAUGCAAGUCGUGCGAGAAAGGGAUAGCAAUAUCCUGAGUACAGCGGCGAACUGGUGAGUAACAGGUGGGUAAUGUACCCUGAAGUGGGGGAUAACACCGGGAAACCGGUGCUAAUACCGCAUGUGAUCACCGAGACUCUGGUCUUGGUGGAUAAAGCAGCAAUGCGCUUCAGGAUCGGCCCGCCCCCGAUUAGCUAGUUGGUGAGGUCAUAGCUCACCAAGGCGACGAUCGGUAGCUGGUCUGAGAGGAUGGUCAGCCACACUGGAACUGAGAUACGGUCCAGACUCCUACGGGGGGCAGCAGUCUAGAGGCUUCGGCAAUGGGGGAAACCCUGACCGAGCGACGCCGCGUGUGGGAUUGAAGGCCUUCGGGUCGUAAACCACUGUCAUGAGGGAAGAAUACCUGGAUGGCGAAUCCAGGGGUGACGGUACCUCAAGAGGAAGCCCCGGCUAACUCCGUGCCAGCAGCCGCGGUAAUACGGAGGGGGCAAGCGUUGUUCGGAUUUACUGGGCGUAAAGGGUGUGUAGGCGGCCGCGUCAGUCUGGUGUGAAAUCUUCACCGCUCAACGGGAAGAGGUCACUGGAAACUGCGCGGCUCGAGAAUGGUAGAGGCUAGCGGAAUUCCUGGUGUAGCGGUGGAAUGUAUAGAUAUCAGGAAGAACACCUGUGGCGAAGGCGGCUAGCUGGGCCAUCACUGACGCUGAGACACGAAAGCGUGGGGAGCAAACGGGAUUAGAUACCCCGGUAGUCCACGCUGUAAACGGUGCGCACUAGGUGUGGGAGGUAUCGACCCCUCCUGUGCCGCAGUUAACACAUUAAGUGCGCCGCCUGGGGAGU